rnacentral:rRNA from 1 species
GGCUCAGAACGAACGCUGGUAGCGUGGAUUAGGCAUGCAAGUCGAACGGGAUCCGGGAGGUAGCAAUACUUCCUGGUGAGAGUGGCGGAUUGGGGAGGAACACGUGAGCAACCUGCCUUUGAGUCGGGGAAAACCGUUGGAAACGACGGCUAAUACCGGAUGUGGCGCCCGGAGACAUCUUCGGAGCGCUGAAGGGGGCCGCAAGGCUCUCGCUCGUAGAGGGGCUCGCGCACCAUCAGCUUGUUGGCGGGUAACGGCCCACCAAGGCCUACGGUUAGCUGGUCUGAGAGGAUGACCAGCCCCACUGGGACUGAGAUACUGCCCAGACUCCUACGGGAGGCUGCAGUCGAGGAUCAUUUGCAAUGGGCGAAAGCCUGACAAUGCGACGCUGCGUGGAAGGAUGAAGGCCUUCGGGUUGUAAACUCCUGUCAUGGGGGAACAGGCGAGGGGAGUUAAUACCUCCCUUAGUUGAGUGUACCCCAAGAGGAAUUGGCGGCUAACUCUGUGCCAGCAGCAGC